UUAGCUAAGCAGCUCGCCGCUUCGGCAGCCACGGGCAGGGGCGGAGCCCGCCGUCUAUGGGAGCUGUAGAGGGACAAACGGUGGGACGCGCUCUCGGGCGGGCGGGACUUCAACAACCAGAAAGCUAGUUGCCUUGUCACCGCUUGCAACAACCAAGAACAGGUGGAAGACCUCUGUACUCAAGGGCCGCAAAAUCCACCCCACUCUUAAGGACGACAGUGUUCAGCUGUAGUGUACUUGUUACUGUGACUUCCUCUACCUGAUUUUUGUUCGAGUUUGGGUUUAUGUAAGCAGAAAUUUUAGACAGCCUUCCAGGACUUCACCUGUGCAGAAGUCAAAUAUGAGGAUGUCCAAACGCUAAAGCACAGCAUCAGUGUGGAAAAACUGGUUUUUCUUUUGGAUCCCAUAUCGUUUAUUUUAUGGAUUUAAAAUGUUAUUCUGAGGCUGGAAAGAUGUGACUCAGCAGUUAAGAGCACUUGCUGCUUUCACAGAAGAUAAGAAUUCACUUGCCAGCACCUACCUACAUCUGGCAGUUCAUAACCACCUGUAACUCCACUCCAGGCGAUCCAAUGUCCUCCAUGUGCAUGCCUUGCAGCAUCCUUCUGCUGUGCCUCUUCAUUGAAGGUGGAAUCUGCCACUGUUUGUCUUCAGAGCUGGUUGUGGAACUUUCUUUGGCUCACAGAUUGCAGCAGGGUUGACUUCCUGUGAUUUACAAACCUUGGACUCAAGAGGCCUUGCAUGCUUCAAAACUCAUGUUCCAUGACUGUUGAGGAAUAUUAUUUUAAACUGUGUCACUUUUGUUUAUGUUGCAUUUGUUUAACUCUGUGAAACUGUGAUACUUUGCCUGUCUAAAACACCUGACUGGUCUAAUAAAGAACUGAAUGGCCAAUAGCAAGGCAGGAGAAAGAGAUAGGCAAAGCUGGCAGGAAGAGAAAAAUGUACAGAAGGAGAAAUCUGAGAGGAGGGAGGAGAAAAGAGAUGGAGGAGUGGAGAAGAAGGAGCCAGAGAAAGAGGAGGACCUAGGGGCCACCCACCCACCUAUACAGCAAGCCAUGGAGUAAGAGUGAGAUUUACGGAAGUAAGAGAAUUGGAAAAGCCCAGAGGCAAAAGAUAAACAGUUUAAUUUAAAGUUAAGGAAAGCUGGCAAGAAAUAGGCCAAGCUAAGGCUGAGCAUUCAUAAGUAAUAAUAAGCCUCCAACAAGAAUAAAAAACCCCAAAAACAUAUGACUGUAGUGAUAUUGUGUUCCCCAAUAUAUUGUGCACCCUAAAACUUAUCUGGGGUCAAAGAACAGAACAGCCACUAGAUAUAAAGGCCAGAAAAUGGUGGCACACACCUUUAAUCCUAGCAUUCUGAAGGCGAGAUCCAUCUGGAUCUCUGUGAGUUCAAAGCCACACUGGAAACAGCCAGGCAUGGUGACUCACGCCUUUAAUCCCAGGAAGUGAUGGCAGGAAGCAGAAAGGUAUAUAAGGCAUGAGGACCAGAAACUAGAAGCUUUUGGCCUGGUUAAGCUUUUAGGCUUUUGAGCAGCAGUUCAGCUGAGAUCCAUUCGGGUGAGGACUCAGAGGCUUUCAGUCCGAGGAAACAGGAUCGGCUGAGAAGUUGGCAAGGUGAGGUUAGCUGUGGCCAGUUCUGUCUCUCUGAUCUUUCAUAUUUCACCCCAAUACCUGGCUCUGGGUUUAUUUUUAUUAAUAAGACCUUUUAAGAUUCAAGUUACACAUGACCCCAGCUAAUUACUAUUAUGUGGUCAAGUCCAGGGCAGCCCACUGAAUGACCACAUGACUCAGUCAAACCUAGCCACAAAGCCAGUAACUAGUCAAGCACCAAACUUGUAAAGAAAACUCCCCAAGACCAGCUAGUUCCUGCCAAAUUAGCAGCAGAUCACAUGUAACUGAAAGAAGAUGAGAAUGACUGACCCCAUCCAGACCAAGAGAACUACCACACCGAUCUGUAGCCAUUGCUUAAGCCACUGGGAUUUAAGGUGUGUGUUAUUGGUCACAUAAAGGGCAAUUCAGUAAUGGGUAAUCUCGUAGAAACAUGAGUGAUAGGAAAGCAUUGGCAGCCGGGUGGUGGUGGUGCAUGCCUUUAAUCCUAGCACUCGGAAGGCAGAGGCAGGCGAAUCUCUGUGAGUUCAAAGCCAGCCUGGUCUACAAAGCGAGUUCCAGGAAAGGCGCAAAGCUACACAGAGAAAGCCUGUCUCGAAAAAACAAAACAAAAC